rnacentral:rRNA from 1 species
CCCGUGUUGCCCGAACCUAUGUUGCCUCGGCGGGCCCCGCGCCCGCCGACGGCCCCCCUGAACGCUGUCUGAAGUUGCAGUCUGAGACCUAUAACGAAAUUAGUUAAAACUUUCAACAACGGAUCUCUUGGUUCCGGCAUCGAUGAAGAACGCAGCGAAAUGCGAUAACUAAUGUGAAUUGCAGAAUUCAGUGAAUCAUCGAGUCUUUGAACGCACAUUGCGCCCUCUGGUAUUCCGGAGGGCAUGCCUGUCCGAGCGUCAUUGCUGCCCUCAAGCCCGGCUUGUGUGUUGGGCCCCGUCCCCCCCGCCGGGGGGACGGGCCCGAAAGGCAGCGGCGGCACCGCGUCCGGUCCUCGAGCGUAUGGGGCUUCGUCACCCGCUCUAGUAGGCCCGGCCGGCGCCAGCCGACCCCCAACCUUUAAUUAUCUCAGGUUGACCUCGGAUCAGGUAGGGAUACCCGCUGAACU